GAAGCUGAAACAUGUUUGUUGUUUUGCUGUCAGAGACAAAGGUUUCAGUCGACACACGAUAAGAUGUCUCGGUGUCCCAGAAGUCUUCCAGGUCCAGCUGCAGCGUGAGAAACCCUCCAAUCAGAGCAGUCAAAAUCCAACCCAGCUGUUUGUCCUUCAAGAGCGACCGGUCAAAGGAAGGUUUAAUUGAUUUUAAACAAAGACAUCCAUCUGACAGAAAAGUGGACCAAGAGAUCUCGGAGGUUUCCAGUGGUCAGUCUUCCCAGCAGCAUCAAACACACCUGGACUCCAUAUUUAUGCUGCUGGAGUUGGACAUUGUCACUUUUGUGAAGAAGAAGCUGAAGAAGAUCCAGAAGGUUCUGAGUCCAGAUUACCCAGAAUGCUCAGAGAGUCAGAGGGAGGAU